CGGGAAUACUAAAAUUAAUUGGGAUAUAGGAAAAAGACAAAAACGAGAUUUAAAUAGUAAAUCAAGGUCACCCCCUAUCCGGGUAAUUUAUAUAAUUUCUAAUCUACCCUCACUGAUCAUGUUUAGUGAUUAAAUAUGAUUAGUUAAGUUAAUAGAUUAGUUUGAUAAUCAUUAGAAUAAAUAUUAUCAUUGGGUUCUACCAUCCCAUGAGCUGCUAAACCUUGUUGUACCGGAACGAUGCAGGCCUUAGGGCCGCCAAUUCAUUUUAGUUACCGGGAUUUUUCCUCUGUUCUUCGAUUUGGGUAUUGAUUUCUUCGAUUUAGGUUUGAUUUUUUUGUUUUUCCGAUGAAGAUGCUCAAUCUCUGGCCAGUGCUUGGAUUUUGGUCCUACUUUUCUAUCAAUAAUCAUCCUUACGCAUCUGAUGAAAAAAGGGGGAAAAUGGAAAAGAAAUACAUAAUAUUUUCUCGGUGGUCAGUUUGUUAUUUUUGUUCACCAUGCCGGGUCUUUUUGGUGAGGUUUAUUUGUUGACUACUGAUUAGGUUCUUGAUGUAACAGGUCACAUAUUGUUUGUCUUUAUUUCAUUUUUUUCCCCUUUCCUUUUUGUAGAGAACUUGUUUGUUAAAAAGUCAGUGGUAGCUUGUAUCACCAUGUUAUUGAGUGAUGGUUCUUAGUUGACUUUGUUAUCCCAUCUCUUCUCAAUUCAACUUUUCUAAUCAUCUUUUAAUUUCGUCUCUUGUCUUCCUUUCUCUUUGAUUAUCUUACUUCAGUGCAUUUUCAGUGAGAUUUUCUCCAAGGGGUUGUUUGUGUUGAGAUACUACGAAGUUUUGUGCUAUUAUUAGGACCCAGUAGUUGUUCUGCAAAGUUCUUCUUAUCUCAUAAGUUCAUCAAGCACUGGUCAUUUUAUUUUAUUUUGUAUUGCUAUUUCAUUGGCCGUUAUACCCAUGUAUGAAAUUCCUUUCUCUAUCCGGUAACUCUUAUGAUUUGGUGGAUA